UCCAGGGUAGCCUAGUGGACAUGGCAACUGCCUGGUAAGCGGAACACUGUGGGUUCGAUUCCCAUCCCUGGAC
rnacentral:tRNA from 1 species